rnacentral:rRNA from 1 species
UAGAACGACUCUCGGCAACGGAUAUCUCGGCUCUCGCAUCGAUGAAGAACGUAGCGAAAUGCGAUACUUGGUGUGAAUUGCAGAAUCCCGCGAAUCAUCGAGUCUUUGAACGCAAGUUGCGCCCGAAGCCUUCGGGUUGAGGGCACGUCUGCUUGGGUGUCACGCA